CCGCAUACAAGUCUGUUGGAAUACAGCGUCAUAGGUGGUGACAACCCCGUACAUGAUGCGGAUGCCUAGUGCUCUGUGAUACACUUUCGAAGAGUCGAGUUGUUUGGGAAUGCAGCUCAAAUUGGGUGGUAAAUUCCAUCUAAAGCUAAAUAUUGGCGAGAGACCGAUAGCGAACAAGUACCGUGAGGGAAAGAUGAAAAGCACUUUGGAAAGAGAGUUAAAAGUACGUGAAAUUGUUGAAAGGGAAACGCUUGAAGUCAGACUUGCGUACUGGAGUUCAGCCGUAAGGUGUAUUCUUCAGUUUGCAGGCCA
rnacentral:rRNA from 1 species